rnacentral:tRNA from 1 species
GCAGAGUUGGUGUUUAAUGGUCAGCACGUAACCCUUCCAAGGUCGAGGAGACAGUUCGAAUCUGUUACUCUGCU